rfam:Tetranychus urticae London genomic scaffold, scaffold_42
CACCGCCCGUCGCUACUACCGAUUGAAUGAUUUAGUGAGGACUUCGGACUGGUCAAUCCAGACCAUUGGGAAACUAGUGGUCGGAUUGUGCUGGAAAGAUGUUCAAACUUGAUCAUUUAGAGGAAGUAAAAGUCGUAACAAGGUUUCCGUAGGUGAACCUGCGGAAG